AACGUAGUAUUUUAUUAUUUAGAAUAACUAUUUUGCGUAUAGUAGGAAAAAUUUAUUAUUUUCUUCGUUA
rnacentral:tRNA from 1 species